GGCAACCCAACCCAGUGUUCUUGCCUGGAGAAUCCCAGGGACAGGGGAACCUGGUGGGCUGCUGUCUAUGGGGUCGCACAGAGUCGGACACGACUGAAGCGACUUAGCAGCAGCAGCAGCAGCAAUGACCCAAGGAAAAGAAAUGCAAAAAGGCAAAAUGGUUGUCUGAGGAGGCCUUACAAAUACCUAUGAAUAGAAGGGGAGCAAAAAGCAAAGGAGAAAAGGAAAGCUAUACCCAUAUGAAUGCAGAAUUCCAAAGAAUAGCAAGGAGAGAUAAGAAAGCCUUCCUCAGCAAUCAGUGCAAAGAAAUAGAGGAAAACAAUAGAAUGGGAAAGACUACAGGUCUCUUCAAGAAAAUCAGAGAUACCAAGGGAACAUUUCAUGCAAAGAUGGGCACAAUAAAGGACAGAAAUGGUAUGGACCUAACAGAAGCAGAAGAUAUCAAGAAGAGGUGGCAAGAAUAUACAGAAGAACUGUACAAAAAAGAUCUUCACAACCCAGAUAAUCACGAUGGUGUGAUCACUUGCCGAGAGCCAGACAUCCUGGAAUGUGAAGUCAAGUGGGCCUUAGGGAGCAUCACUGCGAACAAAGCUAGUGGAGGUGAUGGAAUUCCAGUUGAGCUAUUCCAAAUCCUAAAAGAUGAUGCUGUGAAAGUGCUGCACUCAAUAUGCCAGCAAAUAUGGAAAACUCAGCAGUGGCCACUGGACUGGAAAAGGUCAGUUUUCAUUCCAAUCCCAAAGAAAGGCAAUGCCAAAGAAAGCUCAAACUACCACACAAGUGCACUCAUCUCACACGCUAGUAAAGUAAUGCUCAAAAUUCUCCAAGCCAGGCUUCAACAGUAUGUGAACCGUGAACUUCCAGAUGUUCAAGCUGGAUUUAUAAAAGGCAAAGGAACCAGAAAUCAAAUUGUCAACAUCCGUUGGAUCAUCAAAAAAGCAAGAGAGUUCCAGAAAAUCAUCUACUUCUGCUUUAUUGACUAUGCCAAAGGCUUUGACUGUGUGGAUCACAACAAAAUGUGGAAAAUUCUUAAAGAGAUGGGAAUACCAGACCACCUGACCUGCCUCUUGAGAAAUCUGUAUGCAGGUCAGGAAGCAACAGCUAGAACUGGACAUAGAACAACAGACUGGCUACAAAAAAUCAAGGCUGUAUAUUGUCACCCUGCUUAUUUAACUUAUAUACAGAGUACAUCAUGAGAAAUGCUGGGCCGGAUAAAGCACAAGCUGGAAUCAAGAUUGCCAGGAGAAAUAUCAAUAACCUCAUAUAUGCAGAUGACACCACCCUUAUGGCAGAGAGCAAAGAAGAAGUAAAGAGCCUCUUGAUAAAAGUGAAAGAGGAGAGGGAAAAGGUUGGCUUAAAGCUCAGCAUUCAGAAAACUAAGAUCAUAGCAUCUGGUCCCAUCACUUCAUAGCAAAUAG
rnacentral:lncRNA from 1 species